GCGAGGUCGGCGGGUCAAAUGUAGUUCCUAACAUGGCUUCGAGUAAUCUCAGAGGUGUAUUUUUAGCAGGAAUGGCCGACGGUUUUCGGAGUGGUGUGGAUGGAUAGUGAAAGCGGGGCAGUACAUUACUCUUUAUUCUUUAUUCAUUGUGUGGUCAGCGUGAAAGUGAAAGCACACGUUAACAUCUGUAUUAUCUACGGGCGUUCUGGACACGAAGCUGACAUUCCUAAGGGGUGAUGCUGACAUAGACCAUGUUGGACAGGGGCCUGCUGUUGCUACUACUGGUAGUGGGCGUAUUGGGCCAGGAGUGUCCCGUGGGCAAAUAUGGAGAACACUGUCAACUGAACUGCAGCCGUUCCUGUUUCCCCCAUUCCGGCCAGGAUGUGCACUGUGACAGACACAGUGGUAGAUGCUCUGAGGGAUGCGUGGUUGGAUGGUACGGCGGCCAGUGUCUCCUGUCCUGUAGCAGGAACUGUCGGAGACUCAUCUGCAGUCAGCAGACUGGUCAAUGUACUCUGGGAUGUAAGGGAAACAACACAGGGCAUUUCUGUGAGAUCCACCAUGAAAGUGGUCCCAAUCACAGUGAAGACCAGACAUCACCGGAAACCAUCUCAACUCCAGAAACCACCUCAACUCCCGAAACCACCUCAACAACAGAAACUACCUCAACUCCACUGGCUGCUAUACUUGUACCUGUGUUCGCCAUACUCAUCAUCAUCUUCAUCAUCAUCAUCAUCAUCACUGUGUCUGUAUACAGACGGCGAAGAAGAUCUGUGCGGGCCCCUGACACAGAGAGGGAGCCAGGGAGCCCAGAAACACCCCGGCACUCAGACCACGGUGGAGCCUGGAGUGAGAUGGAAGCACUGAGCUCUUGUACCACACUAGAGUCUGACAUACACGCCUUGAGCGGAGAGGAGGAAACACAGAAGACUGGGACACCCCUAGGACCUGAUACAGGAGCGACACCGAUCCCCGCAUAUGGUGACCCCUGGGCAGACUAUGACCUGCGUGAAGCCUGCUGUAGGGGAAAUAUGGCGGCUGUCAGAGGGGUCCUGGUGGCAGGUCAGGUUGACCUCAAUUGUAGAGAUCGGCAUGGGAGGACACCAGUGAUGACCGCCGCAGUGAAGGGAUACAGAGACGUGGUGGAGCUCCUGGUGAGUGAAGGGGCUGAUGUGUCCCUGGUGGACGAUGUCGGUGACAACACCCUUCACUUGGCCUCUCGGGGAGGAGACAUAGAGACAGUAAAGUUGGUCCUGUCUCUGAAUGUGCUGGACAUCAACAGUAGAGGAGGAUGGCGGUGGAAAACACCAGUGAUGAUAGCGUCACAGAAUGGACACAGAGAAGUGGUGGAGGUCCUUGUGAGUGAAGGAGCUGAUGUGUCACUGGUGGACUGGUACGGUGACAACAUCCUCCACUGGGCCUGUCGGGGAGGAGACGUGGAGACAGUGAAUUUUGUUCUGUCUCUGAACGUGGUGGACAUCAACGCCAGGAACAAGUGUGGAAGGACAGCGGUUGACACAGCGAGACCUAGGUAAGAUCAGAAAUUGAUGGAUCUCCUGGUGACGUGGCGCUCAGUGACGUGAGUGUAGUGUUUGAGCAGACAUUGAAGGAGGCAUGUUGUUACCUACAGUGACGUUGUGUGUGACUUAACAUUUCAGGCUUAUGGUGAGAAUAUUUUUUUUAUAUCUUUGAGGAGAAAAUAACCAUUGUGAGACUUUUAUCAUCUGGGUUUUUUUGGUACUUCUCAUGAUCAGUUAAGGAAAUUGUUGAACAAGUGUAAAUAUAGAUAAUGUGUGAUCAGCAUAUAAAUCUUAGCAUCUGGUAAUAUAAUUCUUUGUCAACUCUAUGUCAAAAGUUCAGAAUAUUAAUGGUGAAACAGUCACAACUAUGGAGGUACAAUCAAGCAUGCUCUUUCUAUGCAGAUUUCAGAGAAGUGAUGCAAGUCUUGCUCAAAAGAUGUUUGAUUAAGGUUACAACAUUCAAGGUGAACACUUGACUUGACUCACAUCUGAUAGUGACUGCGCCAGCAGGCCAAGGGAUUGUGUAGAUGUUCUGUUGUCCAAAGAAGUCAGUGACCACAAGGGGAACGUGAGGGCAUGAAUGGUCCAGCUGUGAAGUGAUUUGACCUCCAUGGGUCUGCGGGAUUGUGAGGACGUGAAUGGUCCAGCUGUGAAGUGAUUUGACCUCCAUGGGUCUGCGGGAUUGUGAGGACGUGAAUGGUCCAGCUGUGAAGUGAUUUGACCUCCAUGGGUCUGCGGGAUUGUGAGGGCAUGAAUGGUCCAGCUGUGAAGUGAUUUGACCUCCAUUGGUGUGCAGGAUUCUGAGGGCAGAUGACUUUGUCAUGGGACCAUCCACCUGUCAAAUUGCCAUCAAUGACCACAAGAGGGGUCCUGUGAUGGACAUUACUUGUCCACCACUGAAUGCUGAACAUUGAGCAACACACGGGUCGCAAUGAAACCAGAACUCUCUGAAGUGGAUUAACCUCCAAUCCUAUAACCUGAACGUUAGAUGUUGUCUUGACCAUGCCAGGCAUGCAGUUCCAGUGGAAGAAACCUUGGUUGUACAGCUGGACCUUGUGGACGACGCUAAGCUGUCAUUAUUGAUUCCUUACAGUCUUGCACUGAUCGGAUGUAUAUCAAAGAUGCAGUCUGAAACCAAUAUCCCAGGAGAACCAGACGGAUAUGAUGCCAACAUGACAUUACUUUGUGGACAUCUAGAAGGUGCUCGAUCCCAGGUGCUGUCAGUCUAUUCGUGCCAAGUCCAGAAUCAAACACCAAAAUACAUAGCAACCACAUUUUGUGGCACACAACCACUCACUUUAAGAUAGCUUUGUUUUUCACAGCUAAACACAGCUAAACACUUCAACGAAUUACUUGUUGAAUUGACUUGGUCCCACAUGUCCUGUGAAUGUGUGACAAAUUUGUUAUUCAUGGGCACGCAGAGACCAAGAUCCACGUGUAGUUUCGGGGGCAUUAUGAGUAAACAUGAUAAACUGUUUGCACAUAUGUGAAUCAUGCAUGAUUCUGAAAGAUCAUGGCAUGUUUUGAUUUGUGCAUGAUGCCACACUCACUUCAUCUGUGAGCACAUGUGGACUAUUGUUGCAUGGCAGUGUAAUUUAUUGUUAAACAAUGUUGUAUUGUAUUGUUUAUGCUACGAUUCAUAAAAAGUUUAUGGCACUGUGUUUUGAUAAUGAUUAGUUGUCAGGAAUGAAGUACUAUUCAAUGUAAGCAGUGGUAGAAAGUUACUAUACCUAGAUGCUUUUUUGAGACAAGUGUGAUGUUGAAUCAGCAAGACUCAUCCAGCACUGUAUGGAGCCUUCAAGAUGGGAUGUAGACUGUAUAAUGGGGCAGCGCAUGCCUCUCCCAUCUCACAUUACGUCUCACAUGACAUCAAGACCAGCGGUUGUAUGAAGAUUAUCCAGCCUGGACCUAUUUUGGAAGAUUUUCGAUCGUUGCAGCUUGGUGAAUAUUAUUACCACUGGUACUGAAUUUUAUGGUCCCACUGAAUUUUGUACAGCCAUUGUAAAAACUUUGCAGUAAUCUAUACCAUCCUAUACUGACUUGUAAACCGAGCAAAUUCUAUAAUUCAGUUGUUAAUUGUAUACCAUUUCUUUGUUUUUUGUUGGUUUUACUAUUGAUAUCUGGGUUAACUAAUUGUUUUAACUUGAAAGUCAACACGUAACAAUAUAUUGUUUACAUAAUG
rnacentral:misc_RNA from 1 species